UACGAAGGGGGCUAGCGUUGCUCGGAAUCACUGGGCGUAAAGGGUGCGUAGGCGGGUCUUUUAAGUCAGGGGUGAAAUCCUGGAGCUCAACUCCAGAACUGCCUUUGAUACUGAAGAUCUUGAGUUCGGGAGAGGUGAGUGGAACUGCAAGUGUAGAGGUGAAAUUCGUAGAUUAUUCGCAAGAACACCAGUGGCGAAGGCGGCUCACUGGCCCGAUACUGACGCUGAGGCACGAAAGCGUGGGGAGCAAACAGG
rnacentral:rRNA from 1 species